rnacentral:tRNA from 1 species
UAAGAUGUCGUUCAGUGGUAGGGCACUUGCCCAGCAAGCAAAAGACCCUGGGUUCUAUCUCCAGCAUCCUGA